rnacentral:rRNA from 1 species
AGGAUGAACGCUGGCGGAGUGCUUAACACAUGCAAGUCGAACGGUGAAGCAGGAGCUUGCUCUUGUGGAUCAGUGGCGAACGGGUGAGUAACACGUGAGUAACCUGCCCUUGACUCUGGGAUAAGCACUGGAAACGGUGUCUAAUACCGGAUACGACCUCCGAAGGCAUCUUCUGGAGGUGGAAAGAAUUUCGGUCAAGGAUGGACUCGCGGCCUAUCAGCUAGUUGGUGAGGUAAUGGCCCACCAAGGCGACGACGGGUAGCCGGCCUGAGAGGGUGACCGGCCACACUGGGACUGAGACACGGCCCAGACUCCUACGGGAGGCAGCAGUGGGGAAUAUUGCACAAUGGGCGCAAGCCUGAUGCAGCAACGCCGCGUGAGGGACGACGGCCUUCGGGUUGUAAACCUCUUUAGUAGGAAGAAGCGAAAGUGACGGUACCUGCAGAAAAGCACCGGCUAACUACGCGCCAGCAGCCGCGGU